GAUUAACGCUGGCGGCGUGCCUAACACAUGCAAGUCGAGCGGCAGCGCGUUUUACACUGAAUUCUGGAAGCUUCUAGUUGAAAGAGAAGAUUUAUUCAAGAAUUUUGUGUAAAAUGUCGGCGAGCGGCGGACGGCUGAGUAACGCGUGGGAACGUACCCCAAAGUGAGGGAUAACGCAUCGAAAGGUGUGCUAAUACCGCAUAUGGUCUUCGGAUUAAAGCCUUCGGGCGCUUUGGGAACGGCCUGCGUAAGAUUAGAUAGUUGGUGGGGUAAUGGCCUACCAAGUCGACGAUCUUUAACUGGUUUGAGAGGAGGAUCAGUCAGACUGGAACUGAGACACGGUCCAGACUCCUACGGGAGGCAGCAGUGAGGAAUCUUCCACAAUGGGCGAAAGCCUGAUGGAGCAACGCCGCGUGCAGGAUGAAGGCCUUCGGGUUGUAAACUGCUUUUAUAAGUGAGGAUUAUGACAGUAACUUAUGAAUAAGGAUCGGCUAACUACGUG
rnacentral:rRNA from 1 species